AUGGCUUCUUUAAAUCUCUUCGCCACUUUUAAUGCUCUUUUCCUCUCUGCUACAUUUAAUGAUGAGGAGAAUAACUUCAAUGAAAUAGGAUUUCAAGCAAGCUCCUCUGAGGAGGAAGAGCCUCUCCCAGCUUGCAGUGGCCCCGCCCAUGCCCAGCCCUCUCCCACUUUUGAGGGCGGCAGGUCCCAGGAGGAAGUUCUCCCUUGCUCGCCAUCUCCAUCGCCAGGCAGUGCUCUUAUCCCUUCAGAGCAGCCCUCUUCUCUCCCAGAAGUAGUCCUCCGAACCCGCACCUCAAGUGAAGGAUCUGAACAACCAAAGAAGAGAGCCUCUAUCCAGAGGACCUCAGCACCUCCGAAUAGGCCUCCUCCACCCAGAGCCACUCCUCAGGGAACAUACCCUCCAGCCCUCCAGCCUCUGAGCAGGGUUCACCUACCAGUCCCAGGGCCUUCUUGGAGGCUGGGACUCCAAGUCCUAGGGCCUCCUUAGAGGUUUCUCCUGACCCACAGCCACCAGCGAAACCAGUAAGAACUUCUGAGGCCAGAGGAAAGGAAAACAUCAACAAUCUGAACCCAGAAGAACUUUGUACUUCCCCUACCUUGAUGAUGUCUGAGGUUUUUUCAGAGUCUGACCCAGCAAAGAAGAUCGAGGACAAGGAAGAGAACAAUAAGCUCACCUCUGCUGACUCCCCUGAGAGCCAAGAUCUUCAGCUUCACGUCUCUGCAGUUCCAGAAGAGAGCAAUGUCAUGGCAACCGUGCCUCAAGAAGAGGUAUCUACAGCUCAAACUGACUACCUGUGAAGGGGAACUGUCGAGACCUCCACACACACCUCCCCAGACAAGCUCCUCAGCUAGAGGGUAUAUAGGUCAGAGGGACUUAAGAUCUAGCAUCCAUUUUUAGGUUCUCCAACAGUAUGAAUGCUGGUGGUCUCUAAAGAUCUAGCAUUAAUGGAGGCUGAGGAGCAGACUUAGGGGAGGAAGGGCGGCAGACUUAGGAGAAGAAACUAUUAGAUCCCGGGAAUAUUUAAUUCAGGCUUUAGCACUGUUAGAAUAAAAAUUAUAUAUUAUAUAUUAAGUAAAGUGGGCCUAAAAUGACUAUAAAAAGCAUAAGCAUCUGUAGACAGAGACACGUCCACAUAGAGACACAUUACCACACAUACUCAGAGAACAGUGAACCACUCAUUUUGCAAGACUUAG